rnacentral:piRNA from 1 species
UCAAAUCUAGCUCGGAGUCUGUUCAUUCU